rnacentral:rRNA from 1 species
CAGCAGCCGCGGGAAUACGAAGGGGGCUAGCGUUGUUCGGAUUUACUGGGCGUAAAGGGCGCGUAGGCGGACUGAUAAGUCAGGGGUGAAAUCCCAAGGCUCAACCUUGGAACUGCCUUUGAUACUGUUUGUCUUGAGUUCGAGAGAGGUAAGUGGAACUGCGAGUGUAGAGGUGAAAUUCGUAGAUAUUCGCAAGAACACCAGUGGCGAAGGCGGCUUACUGGCUCGAAACUGACGCUGAGGCGCGAAAGCGUGGGGAGCAAACAGGAUUAGAUACCCCGGUAGUCCCUGUCUCUUAUAC